rnacentral:rRNA from 1 species
AUUGAACGCUGGCGGCAGGCCUAACACAUGCAAGUCGAACGAGUGGCGGACGGGUGAGUAAUGUCUGGGAAACGGCCUGAUGGAGGGGGAUAACUACUGGAAACGGUAGCUAAUACCGCAGACCAGCAGAGGUGCCCAGGUGGGAUUAGCUAGUGGGGGGGGUAACGGCUCACCAAGGCGACGAUCACUAGCUGGUCUGAGAGGAGGACCCGCCACACUGGAACUGAGACACUGUCCAGACUCCUACGGGGGGCAGCAGUGGGGAAUAUUGCACAAUGGGCGAAAGCCUGAUGCAGCCAUGCCGCGUGUAUGAAGAAGGCCUUCGGGUUGUAAAGUACUUUCAGCGGGGAGGCGUUACCCACAGACGAAGCACCGGCUAACUCCGUGCCAGCAGCCGCGGUAAUAC